GGUUUAACUACUAAUAACGGAGUCAGCAAAUCUGUAUAAUGUUUAACUUGUUACAGCCUCCUGAUCAUCUUCUAGUAAAGUGCAUGUUGAUGAUGGGGUGCUUGUGGUUAUCUCUACGUCCAUAUAGCUAGGAAAAGAGUAAGAACUGAUCGGUGAACUCUCACCCGAAAAACUUGUGAUUUCGUCAUCAAGAUACGAACUUGAGUAUACUGACACUGUUUCUUGGUCAACUAACUCGAAGUGAACGUCAUA
rnacentral:lncRNA from 1 species